UGGGUAAUAUUGCACAAUGGGGGAAACCCUGAUGCAGCGACGCCGCGUGAGCGAAGAAGGCUUUCGAGUCGUAAAGCUCUGUCCUAUGAGAAGAUAAUGACGGUAUCAUAGGAGUAAGCCCUGGCUAAAUACGUGCCAGCAGCCGCGGUAAUACGUAUGGGGCGAGCGUUGUCCGGAAUUAUUGGGCGUAAAGUGUACGUAGGUGGUUUUUUAAGUCAGGUGUCAAAGCGUGGAGCUUAACUCCAUUAAGCACUUGAAACUGAAAGACUUGAGUGAAGGAGAGGAGAGUGGAAUUCCUAGUGUAGCGGUGAAGUGCGUAGUUAUUAGGAGGAAUACCGGUGGCGAAGGCGACUUUCUGGACUUUUACUGACGCUCAGGUACGAAGGCGUGGGGAGCAAACAGG
rnacentral:rRNA from 1 species